rnacentral:rRNA from 1 species
CCUACGGGCGGCAGCAGUGGGGAAUAUUGCACAAUGGGGGAAACCCUGAUGCAGCGACGCCGCGUGAGUGAAGAAGUAUUUCGUUAUGUAGAGCUCUAUCAGCAGGGAAGAAAAUGACAGUACCUGAGUAAGAAGCCCCGGCUAACUACGUGCCAGCAGCCGCGGUAAUACGUAGGGGGCAAGCGUUAUCCGGAUUUACUGGGUGUAAAGGGAGCGUAGGCGGUUAUGUAAGUCUGGAGUGAAAGUCCGGGGCGCAACCCCGGGACUGCUUUGGAAACUGUGUAGCUGGAGUGCAGGAGAGGUAGGCGGAAUUCCUGGUGUAGCGGUGAAAUGCGUAGAUAUCAGGAGGAACACCGGUGGCGAAGGCGGCCUACUGGACUGUAACUGACGUUGAGGCUCGAAAGCGUGGGGAGCAAACAGGAUUAGAUACCCGAGUAGUC